rnacentral:rRNA from 1 species
GACGAACGCUGGCGGCGUGCUUAACACAUGCAAGUCGAACGGAAAGGCCCUGCUUUUGUGGGGUGCUCGAGUGGCGAACGGGUGAGUAACACGUGAGUAACCUGCCCUUGACUUUGGGAUAACUUCAGGAAACUGGGGUUAAUACAGGAUAGGAGCUCCUGCUGCAUGGUGGGGGUUGGAAAGUUUCGGCUGUUGGGGAUGGACUCGCGGCUUAUCAGCUUGUUGGUGGGGUAGGGGCUUACCAAGGCUUUGACGGAUAGCCGGCCUGGGAGGGUGGACGGGCACAUGGGUCCUGAGAGACGGCCCAGACUCCAACGGGAGGCAGCAGUGGGGAAUCUUGCACAAUGGGAGGAAGCCUGAUGAAGCAACGCCGCGUGCGUGAUGACGGCCUGCGGGUUGAGAACCGCUUUCGCCUGUGACGAAGCGGGAGUGACGGUAAUGGGUAAAGAAGCACCGGCUAACUACGUG